rnacentral:rRNA from 1 species
UACGGGGGGGCAAGCGUUGUUCGGAAUUACUGGGCGUAAAGGCUCGUAGGCGGCCAACUAAGUCGGACGUGAAAUCCCUCAGCUUAACUGGGGAACUGCGUCCGAUACUGGAUGGCUUGGAUUUGGGAGAGGGAUGCGGAAUUCCAGGUGUAGCGGUGAAAUGCGUAGAUAUCUGGAGGAACACCGGUGGCGAAGGCGGCUUCCUGGACCGACACUGACGCUGAGGCGCGAAAGCUAGGGGAGCAAACGGG